UACGUAGGGGGCGAGCGUUGUCCGGAUUUAUUGGGCGUAAAGAGCUCGUAGGCGGUUGGGUAAGUCGGGUGUGAAAACUCAGGGCUCAACUCUGAGACGCUACUCGAUACUGCUCUGACUCGAGUCCGGUAGGGGAGCGUGGAAUUCCCGGUGUAGCGGUGAAAUGCGCAGAUAUCAGGAGGAACACCGGUGGCGAAGGCGGGUCUCUGGGCCGAUACUGACGCUGAGGAGCGAAAGCGUGGGGAGCGAACAGG
rnacentral:rRNA from 1 species